CGAGCGAGAAGCCACCGACGGAAGUUUCGGCGGAAGACGAUGGCGGAAAGCGGCGGACGGGUGAGUAACGCGUAGGCAACCUGCCCCUCGCUGGGGGACAGCCUCGGGAAACCGGGAUUAAGACCCCAUGAAGCCUUUGGAGCGCAUGCUCGAGGGGCCAAAGGGAACGGCGAGGGAUGGGCCUGCGUCCGAUUAGUUAGUUGGCGGGGUGACGGCCCACCAAGGCGACGAUCGGUAGCCGACCUGAGAGGGUGAACGGCCACAUUGGAACUGAGACACGGUCCAAACUCCUACGGGAGGCAGCAGUGGGGAAUCUUGCACAAUGGGCGAAAGCCUGAUGCAGCGACGCCGCGUGGGCGAAGAAGGCCUUUGGGCCGUAAAGCCCUGUCGGGAGGGAAGAAGGAAGCGACGGUACCUCCCAAGGAAGCCCCGGCUAACUACGUGCCAGCAGCCGCGGUAACACGUAGGGGGCGAGCGUUAUCCGGAAUCAUUGGGCGUAAAGGGUGCGUAGGCGGCCUUUUAAGCGCGGGGUCUAAGGCGGUGGCCCAACCACCGUUCGCCCCGCGAACUGGAGGGCUAGAGUGUCGGNCAGAGCAGAUGAAUUCCUAGUGUAGCGGUGAAAUGCGUAGCUUUUAGGAAAAACACCAGUGGCGAAGGCGGCUUCCUGGACGAAGACUGACGCUGAGGCACAAAAGCGGGGGGCCUUUAAGGGNNNNNNNCNNNNNNNNNNCNNAANNNAANGACCUUUAAAGGGUUGUCGGGGCCGCAAGGCUUCGGUGCCGGAGUCAACGCAUUAAGUGCUCCGCCUGGGGAGUACGCGGGCAAGCGUGAAACUCAAAGGAAUUGACGGGGACCCGCACAAGCAGCGGAGCAUGUGGUUUAAUUCGAAGCGACGCGAAGAACCUUACCAGGGCUUGACAUCCCCCUGACAGCUUCUUAAUCGAAGUUUUCCACGGACAGGGGAGACAGGUGGUGCAUGGUUGUCGUCAGCUCGUGUCGUGAGAUGUUGGAUUAAGUCCCGCAACGAGCGCAACCCUCGUCGUCAGUUGCUAACAUUGAGUUGAGGACUCUGACGAGACCGCCGUGGACAACACGGAGGAAGGCGGGGACGACGUCAAAUCAUCAUGCCCCUCAUGCCCUGGGCCACACACGUGCUACAAUGGCCGGAACAAAGAGAAGCGAAGUCGCGAGGCGGAGCGAACCUCGAAAACCGGUCCCAGUUCGGAUCGCGGGCUGCAACUCGCCCGCGUGAAGCCGGAGUUGCUAGUAAUCGCGGAUCAGAA
rnacentral:rRNA from 1 species